GAUGAACGCUGACAGAAUGCUUAACACAUGCAAGUCGAUUCAAGUUACCUUCGGGUAAUGAGGAUGGCGGACGGGUGAGUAACGCGUAAGGAACUUGCCUCUUGGUCUGGGACAACUGUUGGAAACGACAGCUAAUACCGGAUAUUAUGAGAUUCUCGCAUGGGAAACUUAUGAAAGCUAUAUGCGCCAAGAGAGAGCCUUGCGUUCCAUUAGCUAGUUGGUGGGGUAACGGCCCACCAAGGCGACGAUGGAUAGCCGGCCUGAGAGGGUGAACGGCCACAAGGGGACUGAGACACGGCCCUUACUCCUACGGGAGGCAGCAGUGGGGAAUAUUGGACAAUGNNNNNNNNAGUCUGAUCCAGCAAUUCUGUGUGCACGAUGAAGGUCUUCGGAUUGUAAAGUGCUUUCAGUUGGGAAGAAGCAAGUGACGGUACCAACAGAAGAAGCGACGGCUAAAUACGUGCCAGCAGCCGCGGUAAUACGUAUGUCGCAAGCGUUAUCCGGAUUUAUUGGGCGUAAAGCGCGUCUAGGCGGAAAAAUAAGUCUGAUGUUAAAAUGCGGGGCUCAACUCCGUAUUGCGUUGGAAACUGUUUUUCUAGAGUACUGGAGAGGUGGGCGGAACUACNAGUGUAGAGGUGAAAUUCGUAGAUAUUUGUAG
rnacentral:rRNA from 1 species